ACUAGGCUACAACCGCUUUAAAAUGGUUUGAAAAUUCUUUUAGAAUUACCAUAAGAGCGAGUCAUUAGUGAAUUU
rfam:Firmicutes bacterium CAG:345 genomic scaffold, scf2